GGCAGCUGGCAGGCAUUGGGUUGAUGCUGCUCAGAAAAUUAUAAAGGGCACAAGUGCAGUAAUCACUGCAGAUGGUACAAGGUGGUUGGGAAUUUUUUUUAGUAGCAAAGAGCUUGUGGGGCUCAGAGAAACUCAGCACUCACAGCGAGGAUGGAUCUCUAGGGGCUUCCUAGGGACAGAUGUGGUGGAGGAGUCCCCAGAGAUGCUCUGUGCUGCCUAAUGCAGGUCAGAGAAGACGGACGGACUGGCUCAUUUGGCUUCUGGAAUUUAUAAAGGAGGAAAUGGUGCUGAGCAGGUACCUGCUGAACUGUUGCUAGGCCAGAAUAACAAUAUGUACCUUGCGCUGAAUUAUUUAGGAAGAGCCGGUGUAAGAAACCCAGAGGAGUCAGGAUGAGCUUUAAGUAGAUGAUAUGCAUUACCCUUCAUAUAACAGCUUUAAAAUGAAUCGUACUGGCUGGACUGUUGCAGCAGGUUAUCUAAUCUUUAUCCCUCCUCAUCUUUCAAAUCCACAGUCCCCCUUCUGCAGGCUGCAGAGCUCAAACCCCGGCCAGGGAAACCUUGUUCUUGCUUCACAUGCACACCCACGGGUCCCCUCCAUCACGGGGAAGGAUGGAGUAAGUGGAAGUGAAUACUCAGGGCAGCCUUUGAAGGCUGAGAGCUGUUCCAGACUAGAGGUUAAGCAUGCUGGUAGAAGCUGGGGAGCAAAGGCUCCUGCUCCAGGGCUGGGAGACUGGGUGUUUGCUUUGUGAGCUGCCCAUGCACCACCUCCAGCACCCUUGCCCAAGCCCCAGGACCUGCCUUCUCACAGCCAAAGCACAUUUACCCCAGGGUUGGCUGGAGGGUCUCUGCAUCAAAGGCUGUGGGCACCCAGCAAGCAGGGGAACAGGUGAACACUAUGGCUUAUGUGAAAGGAGCAGGAGGGGAGCGAAAAGCCUCAAAACCAACUUUAUGCCUCAUAAGACAUCAAGAAAUACAUCUGGAUUUUUAAGGCUGUUUGCUUUUUAGCUAUAAAAGCAAUGGUCACUCCUUCCAUACUGUUUUCUUAAUUGGAAGAGUUGUUUUUCAUGAGAUGGAAGUGCUUCUUUGAAUUAAACUCAGCUCAUUGAACAUGCCCUGAGCAAACAGUCACUAGAAAAGCAACCCAAGUGGGAACUUGGUUGGUUGAGCUCAGAGGAGCGAAUGUCUGCUGGAAACCAGAGCUAGUUUCUGGUCUCUUAGAAAUUGGUAAUUACCAGCUGAUAGGGAGAUGAACUGUCUUCAGCGAUGUUUUUGUGCAGCCUAGUUACAGACUACUUGGUCUUAAGCAAUUAGAGCUAUUCCUGUUUCCUUCUCUAAUAGAGCUCAUUGUCAGGCAUAAUUCAGCUCAUCUCAGAGCUAAGCUAAUGCCUCUUUGAUAGCACUUGCCAAACAUCACUGACAAUUUUGUAGUUAUCGGUAUCAAGGCAUCCAAAGAUCACUGUCACUAACAGACACGAGAGAGGCAACCCCUCCCUUUUCCAGAGUUAAAGUGUGUAUUUGACAGAUUUGUUCAGUUAACCUCACACUGCUCUUACUAGCAACCCCUGUCUGUGCAGCAACAGCUUGUAUGAAGGUGGCAACAGCCAUGUACGUGAGAGGGAAGGUCAUGUUAUACCCUGGCCCAUGCAGACUCUUGUAGAAAUCAAAGAAAUAACUCUGCAAUAUGAUCCAUUUAAAAAAAAAGUAUCUGAGGACUUGUCUGAGAUAAUCUUUUUUGUGCAAGGACUUAAGUUAUAGCUCCCGGUUUCUCCUGCCUCAGAAUUCAGAGGGGGUUAAAAUCAGUCCUCCUUCUCUUCCCAGAGCCCCAGCUGCAAUCGUCUUCAUCAAGCUCCAGCUUUUCAGCUCUUAUCUAAUAAAUUAUACCAGAAUUUUGGUCAUUUGCUCAUCUUCCACUUGAGCUCUCAUCAGAAAGGCAAGCACACACAGACUGCAGCUGCUGCUUUUCAGUCUGUGGUAUCUUCACUGCUGCAGCCUCCUAAGGAAGGGCUCUGGUCCUAUCCAGCCACAGCUGGGUUAGGUUGGUGCUAUCUUGGUGGGUCUUGAACCUCCUACAAAGACCAGCUUUGCACAACAGCUGGCUGAGGCCCAAUUGCAUUUUGAGAUAUUCGAUUUAGCUUUGCUUUGGCAGGACGUAACUGAAAAGGCACUGGCUGGACAGCAGCUGCCCUUUGUCUGCUGAAAAAACGCUGCCUUACUCUGACCCGUCAAACGAGACACGAAGACACCACGGCAGGAGCAAUCACGUGGAACAGGGGAGAGGAGAGAGGCAGAGCUGACUGAUGCAAGGGGCACUGGAUCAGUCUGUCCUUCCUCAUGUCACACAAAAAUAGGGCAGGAGAAAAAUGGUCUUCAGAGGACUUGGGCAUAGUGCUAUGAGUGUAACAACCCCCCCGUGCCUCACUUUGCCCUAAUCGUUCCCUAGCUCUUCAGCUUACCAUGCCCUAAGAGCCCCAAGGCAGGACUGUUUCAGAGCCUGGGAGCUUGGGCACAUGAUGGAGCUGGAGGAACUCUGCUCACCGCUGCCCUGCGGUCUGGCCACCCCGGGGAAGGGACACUCGGUUCGCUCUGCCUGGCUCGUGGUCUGGGACAGCAGGGCUGCAGUUUGUGGGCUCGACGGUACUUAAUGUGGCUGUAACUGGCCGUACAGAUAGGCUUCCUAGUGCAGAGGUUUUGUCUUUUGAAUUUGUGUGUCAGCGUAGCUUAUUGAUGGGAACUUUGCAGGACUGAACACAGUUCUCUUCCAUGCUGCCAAAACCAGUUUCUCUUGUCAUGGCCUGGUUCGGGCUCACUGGACAAAGGGACUCUCAGCUCUUUGCAAUGAGGCAUCAUGCAAGGCACUCUUAAAAUCACCAAACUCCAUCAAACAGCAAGCCCUUUCCCGUUCCCUCUCUACAAGCAACACACAGCACAAGGAGGGCUUUCAAGAACAUGUUUAAUGAUGGCAGUUUCUACUGAAACAUGAGAUGUCCAUUCAAACUUGUCCGACCAUUUUUUCUUAAAAAAAAAAGGAGAAAAAAAAAAAGCUUUGGUCACAAUGACAAAUUAUCCUAUACAUAUUUUAAAACAAAGUUCAAGCAAUUACACAAACAAAACACAUGGUCCUGAUAACUCCUCACACAAAACCUGCAGCAGCAGAAACUCAUCUAACAAAAGAAAUAAAACCUUAACAACUAUAACAUGCCACCCUGCAGAGAUUAUACCAUGUACAGUGAUUUAGAGGGAACAGUUUGGAACAAAACAUUCAAAUGCAUUAGCUCUUGUGUGUUCAUUAGACUUCCACAAGUCAUUUUGGGCUUAUGAUAAGCAUUGACCUGUAUACAAGUUAGUGUGCUGAACAAGUGCUUGCAGUCAUCUCUAUACCAUCAAGGGGGGGAAAAAAAAGCACAAAGCUACAUGUGCACUUCUGCCUUAAUUCUGCAGGCAAGCACGGCACGCUAACUUCUGGCUUCUCAAAUGUAACCUCCACUGCCAGGGCUGUUGGAGUAAAGAAGCUGCGAUUCUGCGCAGGGCUUUUCUCCACAGCACAGCAUGCACAAAGAGGAAAGCUUCUAAUUUGCUUGCUCUGUUUGCCUCUGCUACUAGUCAGUGGAUUUUGUAAGCAGCGAGCGAGCUGCAGGCGGACAUCUAUAAUAACGGUUCUCUUUUCAUUUUCUGUAACAAAAAAAAUGCCUUUAAAAAUGCACUUGAACAAAGAAAGCUUGGCUAAGCAACACAAAAUAGCAGCAAAUACUAAGACAUUACAAUCACAAUCAGAUUAAAUCUGCAGUGUAAAAUACACAAACGUUAAGGUAAAACAUUCAUGUAGUGGUUAAUGGCUAUUUCUUCUCUGAACUCCUAGACCUACCUGAACAAAACAGUCCAAAUUAUUAAAAUUAUGUUUUAAACUAAUUCCUACCAUUAAAAAAAUAUUCAUUAUAUAUACUAUUAGACGAGUCACAUCAAGUGCUCUUAAAAUCUUAACUAAAUAUAACUAUAGAAUAUUUAACUAGACACUUUAAAUCACAUACAGCAACUUUUGUAGAGGUAAACAUUGCCUCACAUUUGCAACAGCAAUUGAGUAUCAAACAAAGCAUUCAGGUUAUGUUCAUGACCAUGAGCAACUGGUGAGGUUUUACUUCCACCAGGCAGCUGCUGCUUCCUCCCAAGCACUCGAUAGCUUAUGGCACAGGGGUUGGGACCCCCGAGGAGCCAGUUGGGCAGCUCCAUCCUCCAACAGCUUACGUACUUGAUCCCCAUCCACCAGUGAGACUCGGCCACGUUACAGAAUCAGGGAUUUUCAGCCACAAGCAAGCAGAGCAGAUGUUCUUUGCCCGUGUAACUCAGCAGGUAACCUGAAGUUGGUGGAAAAUCUCAUUUUAAGAACUGGCUUACCCUUGGAAAGAAGUACCCUUCUAUGCAUCUUUACCUCUCAGUUCUCUCCUACAUAACUUGGUCUUGCCUCUCCUGCAAAGAGGCUUUAUUCCCUCUCCCCCCACCUCUUCUGGAAUGCCUGGUGCUCAGCUGAAUGCCUUUGGCAGAAGCGUGGGCAUGAACAUGUUGCUGUGGUGUCUGCUCAGGCAGCACAGCCACCUCACUCCAUCACCUGCAAAUGCAAACAGGAGCUUCUAACCCAGCCUCCCUCUCAGCAUUGCCACUUCUUUGACUUCAAAAGGACUGUCUUCAGAUCAGUUCCUGAUCUUCAAAGUACUUCGGUCCUGAAGGAAUGCAGUAUUUCCUACAGAAUCAUCCAGCCUAAAUCUGAAACCUGUUUUACCAAGGUGGGGAAAAGAUCCCCAGCUUUCAUCUCAACCUGCAGCAUCGUUCAACCUACUGGUCCCUGCAACUUCUACCAGCCAGGAGACAACCUGCUCGGCCCCAACAUCAGUUCUUCCACUCUCACUGUAAUAGUUGACAUGUUAAAUAUUGCUUAGAAACAGUAAUGUGGAAUGACUCAAAUUCAUUCCAUGAAUGAAAAUAACAAAGCAUUUUUACAUUGUCUUGAUGACUAACAUUAACACAACAGUCUGCUGUGGGAUUUUUCCAUCCUGGCUGAGAGAGCUGUUUGCAAAGCCUUUGCUGAGUCACAGUUAGGGAAAGCAAGUGACGUUUUGGGAGCUGCUCUGAGGAAAGCACAAGGUUGCUGGGAAAAAAAAAAAUUCCCUUCACCUCCUUUUACUGACUGCAGGGCCCAAGGGAACCGUGCAGAACUAGCGUAGGUUGUGGUAUCAUGACGAAGCAGUUUAGUGUUCUCAGCAAUACUCAGAUUGCAAAAAGGGGAAAAAAAAAAAAAAGGCGACUCACUGCAGUCUCCCUGAAGGGUUGUAACUGUAGGAGGUCAAGCAAACAGUGGGACAAUCCUAAAACAGUUAGAAAAUGCACAGCCCCGACAAAAAGCUUCAGCCAGCUUCAAACCCAAAGUAAAAAGGUGUUAAGGGGUGCAGCAAACGGAGAGUAAACAUGCCAAAGAGGAGUCUGAGCUGCAUCUGUGGUUACUUUAAAGGAAAACCGCAAAGUAAAGAAACUAAACCAGUUAGGUCUGCCCUUUCUAAUGACAGCCUGAAAAGUAUACAUGCUUGCGGUUUCCUAAACCCAAUCCAUCCAGAUGCAGCUAUCUAAUUCUCGUAAUGCCAUCCCACAGCUCUGACCUCUGCAGCAUGAAGCAUAGCAGGGAGUAAUGGUUAAAAAUGCAUCCUUGAGUUUAAUGGGAUUUGUCAAGCAGGUGGUAGGGGAAAACUUCCAGUUUGAUACAGAUUAAGAUCACUUACACAAAGCUUCCAUGAAGACUAAGUAGUGUUCUUUCUGCAAUCUAAUCAUUUCACACAAGGACUUACUUUGCUUAGAAAAAAAGUAAUAUAGAUGAUGGGUAGACAAGUUACGGUAAGCACAGGACACAGAGCAGUACAAAACGCCUUUAGUCCCUGUGGAAGGGCAGAAAAUUACAAAAAUAUAUCUUCUUUAAUCCAAGACUGUUGUGGUUUAGGGCAUGCCUGAUUCUUCCUAUUUCCAUGUGGUCUCAUUUAUUGGAGUUGGUCUGGUCAGAGCUCCUUGGGACAAUGAGAAUGUCAUUAUGAAAGCUUAGUGCAAUAGGUUUUUUU